ACCGGCUAACUACCGUGCCAGCAGCCGCGGUAAGUACGGAGGGUGCGAGCGUUAAGUCGGAAGUUACUGGGCGUAAAGACGCAUGCAGGUGGUUUGUUAAGUUCAGAUGUGAAAGACCCGGGGCGUCAACCUCGGAAUAGCAUUUGAAACUAGGCAGACUAGAGUACUGUAGAGGGGGGUAGGAAGUUUCAGGUGUAGCGGUGAAAUGCGUAGAGAUCUGAAGGAAUACCGGUGGCGAAGGCGGCCCCCUCGGACAGAUACUGACACUCAGAUGCGAAAGCGUGGGGAGCAAACAGGAUUAGAUACCCCUGGUAG
rnacentral:rRNA from 1 species